CAGUAAAAUGGCUGAUUAAGCGGUAAAUUGUAAAUUUAUUUAAGAUUAAAAUCUUUUGCUGG
rnacentral:tRNA from 1 species